GUUUACUCUGAGGGUUGUGGACUAGACAAGGUGUUGAUGUCAUGGGGUCACGAUGAUUAUAUGUACUUGGUUGCAAAAGAGAAUGGGACAACGUUGCCAUCAGCUGGUCUUUUCAUUAUUAGAUAUCAUUCAUUUUAUGCCCUGCACAAGUCUGGAGCUUACAAGGAACUAAUGAAUGAGGAAGAUAAGGAAAAUCUUAAGUGGCUUCAUAUUUUUAACAAAUAUGACUUGUACAGCAAAAGCAAAGUUCAGGUUAACGUGGAAGAGGUCAAGCCUUACUACAUGUCUCUAAUUGAAAAGUAUUUCCCAGCAAAGCUGAAAUGGUGAGGAGGAGAUGCGUUUAG
rnacentral:misc_RNA from 1 species